GUCCUUUAGGACAAUGGUAGGAGAGCGUUCUAAGGGCGUUGAAGCAUGAUCGCAAGGACAUGUGGAGCGCUUAGAAGUGAGAAUGCCGGUGUGAGUAGCGAAAGACGGGUGAGAAUCCCGUCCACCGAUUGACUAAGGUUUCCAGAGGAAGGCUCGUCCGCUCUGGGUUAGGCGGGUCCUAAGCUGAGGCCGACAGGCGUAGGCGAUGGAUAACAGGUUGAUAUUCCUGUACCACCAUGAUUCGUUUUAAGCGAUGGGGGGACGCAGUAGGAUAGGCGAAGCGUGCUGUUGGAGUGCAC
rnacentral:rRNA from 1 species